rnacentral:tRNA from 1 species
GGAUAGCUCAAUGGGUAGAGCGGUUGCAUAUGCAACGUGUUGCGGGUUCGAGUCCCGCUCCA